AUUGAACGCUGGCGGCAUGCCUUACACAUGCAAGUCGAACGGUAACAGGUCUUCGGAUGCUGACGAGUGGCGAACGGGUGAGUAAUACAUCGGAACGUGCCUAGUAGUGGGGGAUAACUACUCGAAAGAGUGGCUAAUACCGCAUGAGAUCUACGGAUGAAAGCAGGGGAUAGCAAGACCUUGUGCUACUAGAGCGGCCGAUGGCAGAUUAGGUAGUUGGUGGAAUAAAAGCUUACCAAGCCGACGAUCUGUAGCUGGUCUGAGAGGACGAUCAGCCGCACUGGGACUGAGACACGGCCCAGACUCCUACGGGAGGCAGCAGUGGGGAAUUUUGGACAAUGGGCGCAAGCCUGAUCCAGCAAUGCCGCGUGCAGGAUGAAGGCCUUCGGGUUGUAAACUGCUUUUGUACGGAACGAAAAGCCCUGGGUUAAUACCCUGGGGUCAUGACGGUACCGUAAGAAUAAGCACCGGCUAACUACGUGCCAGCAGCCGCCGUAA
rnacentral:rRNA from 1 species